rnacentral:rRNA from 1 species
UACGUAGGGGGCAAGCGUUGUCCGGAAUCAUUGGGCGUAAAGAGCGUGUAGGCGGCCAGAUAAGUCCGCUGUGAAAUCUCGAGGCUCAACUUCGAGCUGUCGGUGGAAACUGUCUGGCUAGAGUCCGGAAGAGGAGAAUGGAAUUCCUGGUGUAGCGGUGAAAUGCGCAGAUAUCGGGAGGAACACCAGUGGCGAAGGCGGUUGCCUGGGGCUUUGCUGACGCUGAUGCGCGAAAGCGUGGG